CUAAAUCUGUCCCGUUGGCUGGUGGUGCCUUUCCCGCACCCGUCGCGUGAAUGCUGCGUGAAGAGAAGUGGUUGGUUUCCCAAUUCCCGUCCUCCCGGAGCACCACUCCUCUCCUCCUGAUAACUUCAUCUGUUUGCAUCUUGGGCUGUGCCUUUCUUUCGUCUGCAAGCAAGGUACUGUGCUGUUAUCCCGUUGUCAUAGUUGAUAUCACUCUACAAAUCAAGAUUCCUACUGAAGUGAAAGUGUCAGUUGUGAUAAUGACAACUGAAGUUGGUUCAGAGACUGAAGUAAAGAAGGAUUCUGAGCAGCUGGGACCAGACAAAGCCAAGGACAAGCCUGAAGAAGCAUCAGAGACUCCAGGAGAUCAAAAGUCCAAGGAAACAUUCUCUGGAGAAGCUCAAGAUUCUUCUGUCCCAGCACCAACUAACCAAAGUAGUCCAAGUAGCCAGAAGAAGGAAAAAUCUUCACCUGAAAGCAAGGGAAUUUCUCGUUUCCUUCCCCCUUGGCUUAAAAAACAAAAGUCAUACACCUUGGCAGAGCCCAAAGAUGAGCCCAAGAAAAAGGCCACAGGGGAAGAGCAAGUAGUUGAAGAAAGUGAAAGCCAGGCACUAGAGGGGGUGGCUCAGCCAAGAAAGAGCUUGGAAGAAGCAACUGAAAACCGACAGAAUGCUAAAGCAGGUGACAAAGAAAAGCACUCCAUUAGUAGUGCUGAAAUACAGCCUUCCAAAGAAGAUGGUAAAGAAACAGAAGUAGAGGAAGUUGCAGAGAAAAAGGAAGAAAAACAAGAAGAAAAAGAAAAAAGGGAGACAAAAGAAGUGCAGACAGCUGAAAUUAAAAUAGAUAACGUUCCUCAGAAGUCUCCAAAGAAAAUCAAAACUGUGCAGUGUAAGGUGAUGCUUCUGGAUGGCACAGAAUACAGCUGUGACCUAGAGAAAAGAGCCAGAGGACAAGUGCUGUUUGAUAAAGUAUGUGAACACCUCAAUUUACUGGAAAAGGACUAUUUUGGGCUGUUGUUUUAUGAGAAUUCAGAACAGAAGAACUGGCUAGAUUCUUCAAAGGAAAUUAAGAGACAAAUUCGAAGUUUACCUUGGAUAUUCACCUUUAAUGUGAAGUUUUAUCCCCCUGAUCCGUCACAGUUGACUGAAGACAUCACUAGGUAUUUCUUGUGCCUUCAGCUUCGCCAGGAUAUUGUAUCUGGCCGGCUGCCCUGUUCUUUUGUGACUCACGCCCUCCUUGGUUCAUAUACCCUGCAGGCUGAGCUGGGUGAUCAUGACCCAGCAGAGCACAGCAGUGAUUAUAUCAGUGAAUUCCAGUUUGCACCCAAUCAGACUCAAGAAAUGGAAGAGAAAGUGGCUGAGCUACACAAAACACACAGGGGUUUGACUCCAGCACAGGCGGAUUCCCAGUUCCUAGAAAAUGCUAAGAGACUUUCCAUGUAUGGAGUGGAUUUACAUCAUGCCAAGGAUUCUGAAGGUGUGGAUAUCAUGCUGGGUGUAUGUGCUAAUGGUCUGCUGAUUUACAAAGACAGACUCCGAAUCAACCGCUUUGCCUGGCCAAAAAUUCUGAAGAUUUCCUACAAGCGAAGUAAUUUCUACAUCAAAGUCAGGCCAGCAGAACUGGAACAGUUUGAGAGCACUAUUGGGUUCAAACUGCCAAACCAUCGGGCUGCUAAAAGGUUAUGGAAGGUUUGUGUGGAGCACCAUACUUUCUUCAGACUUCUAUCACCAGAACAGCCUCCCAAAGCGAAGUUCCUGACCUUGGGUUCCAAGUUCCGCUACAGCGGCCGUACGCAGGCGCAGACACGACAGGCCAGCAACCUCAUAGACAGACCAGCUCCGUACUUCGAACGCACUUCCAGCAAGCGUGUUUCCAGAAGCCUUGAUGGAGCUCCCAUGGGUAUUUCAGACCAAGGUCUUGUAAGAGACUUCUCUGCUGCUGGAGGGCAGGCUGCUGGAGAUAAAAUUAUUGAUCUUGAAGCUGCUGGUCAGGCCAAGUUAAAAGAAGGUGGCAGAGAAGAAGAUGAAAGUCCACUCAAAACUCCACAAUUAGAAUUUACUCAGGAUGGAAAGAAUUCUUUUCUUCAGCUCACUCACAUACACCCGUCAUCACUGCCCAUCUAUCCUGUGUCAUCCCAUCUCACAAACUUGUCACCUGUCCCUGAGAUCGACAUGCUUUCAGAUAUUUCAGAGGAAGAUCCCUUUGAAGAGCCCCUCCUUACCAUUCCAGACAUUUCAGAGUGCAGUUCCAUGGAACAAACAUCAGAUCAUAAUAAAACCGGAACAGCUUCACCAAUUAAUACCUUUGAAUCUAUGAGACCCCUAGCUAGUCAAGGCUCCCCUGCUGUUGAGGGAAGAAUCCAUACAAAUGACUACAAAAGCACUGAGUUGUGCGUGUCAUGCAGCUUCUUCCGAUGCCUUUCUUUUAGUUUCCGUUCGUUGCUUGAUGAGGAUGGCUAUAUUACUUUUCCUAGCCUUCCUGAUAUUUGCAUUUCUUUCCUCCCACCUGGCCUUCAGCACUAUAUUCCUAUUACCUCUCCUUCCUUCAUCCCCUCUUUUCUCCUUGUCUUUGUCCUGCUUCUGUCUGCUUUCCAGUCUGUUCCCUUUUCACUCACAUUUUCCCUUCCUCUUGCUCUGUCCCUCUGCUACCUGGAGCCUAAGGUGACUUCCUUUAGUAGCUCUAGUGGCAAUGACCUGAAUGACAAAGCAGAGGAAGAGGAGGUGUGUAAUUUUGCUGCUUAAAUGUUGACUCUUGCACAUUGCAUUUAUGCUUGUUCUCACAAGGCUUGCUCAGUUUUGCACACUUCCUAGUUUAGAGGUGUGUCUGUGUACAUGCCUGUAAAUACAUAUAUCAAUACACAAAUGCACAUGUGUAUAUCUAUAUCUUUUUAGCAUUUCUCAUUUGUGAAAAAUUGCCAUUGUGGGAUUUUUAGUCAAUAGAUAGCUUAUGGUUUUUCUGCCUAAUUUCCUAUAGCAUGCAUAAUCUCAUUGAAUUCCACAGAUACUAAGCUGCAGGUGGGCUUGCAUUGUAGUUCAAAAUGUUAAUGAGGACAUAAAACUGAAUACUGAAAGUGCUCUGUGUAAUAAUAGAUAUGUUAUUUGAUACUAUUUGCAAGUUCUAUUUGCACUGUCAAUUGGUUUUAAAAUGCCUGUCUCCCGCAUGCAUUGACUGGAAUGUGCAUCUCUGAAGUUCUGUUUAGAUCUGAAAAAUGAAAUUCCUAAAAGCUGAAUUCAGAAAACUGUGAAUACUUUAAAAUCAGUGUUUUGAUUUCAGAUGUUUCAGCUCUACAAGGGUGUGUGCAAAGCUGAGUCUGCCCAAGGCACAUUUUCUUUUUUUACAUGCUUUGAUUAAUCUCUAGCAGCAGUUGAGACUGAUUUAGUUCAUUAGCUGGGAUGGCAGGUUAUGUCAGACUGUGUCACUAGAAUCUGAGCAUUCUUUGGAAUACACUGCUAAAAUGUACAGAAGCCUCAGUCACACCAGUAUGUUGCUCUGAUCAUCUGGAGUGGCUGACAUACUGCCUACUUUCUUUAUGUCUGCUGCACAUGUUACAGCAAUACCACUAGAAAAAGGUCUUCUAUUUUGAUCCUCAAAGAAAAUAUUAAACCAAUUAUUAUAGAAUCAAAAUGGAGGAGGAUCUGUUUAGUGUUACAUUUAACAAAGUUUGCUAAACCCAUGUACAUAUUAAAGACCUGCUGAAUAAGACACGAUGCCAUUAUAAUACCAGUCUAAGUAUAAAAUAAUGAAAAAUAUGACUUUAAGAUUUUCUCAGUUUUUCCAUAGCCUAAUCCAAUCAAUAAUUUUUAGUGUAGUUACAGAAAAUACAACCCCAGAUAAGUCAGAAAUUAAUAAAAAUGUUAUAUGUACCAUAUCAUGCACACAGAAUCCAAAAUGCAAUAGUAUGAGCAGUAAAUCCAUCUUCAAAUUUAUGGAUUUGCACAGUGUUGACUUGUAAAUCUUUUCCUAAGAUUGCCAGUUGAUAUUAUUACUUGUCGAGAGACAACUGGGAAGUGUUUCACUUUAUAAAGAAUGCUGUCCCUUAAGGCAUUCAGAAUACUUGGAGAUGAGAUAUGAAGAUUACCUACAGAAAAUUACCAACAGAAUUAAUUGAAGUUUAAAAAUAAAUAUAUUCACUUAACAAGAGGUGUAUGUGUAUAUGUGCAAAUAGCUCAUCCCAAGACAGUAAUGUUCCUAAAAUUGAAGACAGUUUGUAAAUACAGUGUUUAAGUGUUUGACUUGAACCCUAAACUCUUUUCCCAAAUGAACUCCUGGAUUAGAUUCCAUUUUCCCAUCAAUUUGUUGCAGAAUUUAAGUCACUUACCAUAUAAAUUAUACAUAUCAUUUUUGUUUGUUACUCAUUCUUAAAUUUUCACCUGGGAAACAAUAAAAAAAAAAGUGCAGCAAGAAAGGGACACAGUGUGAAACUUCCAUUUUUCAUGCCACUUAUGCCAAAAGUUACUUCAGCCAUUCUACAACAAUGUAGGUGCAAGAAGACCCAAGUCGCUUAAUUUCAACAUCUGGGGCCGAAAGAGUAAAGGUGGAAUAUGAAGAGGAGGAAGCACAGCAGAAGCUUUUUGAUCACUAUUGAAACUUUGCUUGUGUAUAACUUACUGAAGCACUGAAAGUGUGCAUUGCAUAACUGUGCUUUGAUCAAGCCCAAGAAAUGUGCCUUGUGUCAAGUCAAGACAGGUCUUAAAAUAAUGACAGGAUUGUUACGAGCUUCAGUUGUGUAACAGAAUGCCUUUGGCAUAAGAUUUUACUUCACUCAGGAAAUACAAACUUUAGGGGGACAUAUUUAAUGUCUCAUUUGUUAGUCCAGGAUGAAAAGUGGUCCUGUGACAUUACAAACAUACAGAGUUGCUGGAAGGGGAGAGAUUCAAAUGUUCAAAAUGCAUGCAGGCUUAUCCACAAGGUUAGGAAAUAGAUGUGCAGCACCAAACCCUUACUGGGGCUGAACACACAAGUGAAAAGAAACUAGAACCUAAGGAGUUUGGGGUGUGGGUUUUUCGUGAUUUAAUGUGAAGCAUCUUUGCAUUGCAAUCAUUGACAAUAAAAAUCCUGACCUAAAUGGUAGAUUUUAGAACAUUCUUCUAAAAAGUAUUUAAAAUCCUUGAAAAAAUCCAGAUUCUUUACCUAUAUAAUUAUAUCAUAUUAUAUUCUUUUGACAAAACUUCCUUAAUAAUUAUGUCUGCAUUGACAAUAUUUCAUUUCAAUCUUCAGUCUUUUGGUACUUUACUAAAAAUGGAUCUGAGGCUUAAACUUGAAUAUAACUAUAGAAUACUACUGAAAAAUAUUCUUGUGUUAGAGUGAGCAUAAGCAACAUGGUCUUUUCUUGAGACCUGGAAUUCUGGAAGGAGGACAAAUUGUGAAAGCAGGGUGAAAUCUGCUUCUCCCACCAAAUCCCAGCCAUUGUAUCUAGAAGACAAUGAAUUCUCAAGAAAGCUAAGCAUAUAUAUUUUUGUCCAAUUACUAGAGCAGUUAAAUUUUGACAUAGCUUCUGAACCUUACCUCUGUCCUGUAGCUGAUACAAAAUGAAAGAAUACCUUGUAAUUACUUGAUCCAAGGUGCUGCAGUUUGGCCUCAAUGGUCAUGAGAAAAUCCAAUUCACACUGUGGUGUCCCCUUUGGCAUUGAUCUAUGGAGGCGCAAUUUAGAUAAUUUUCUUCAUACUGGCAUGCACAAAAACUAUUCCUACUUGUCUAUCUACUGUCAGGUUCUUAAAAGUAGAAUUGGCAGGUAACAGCUUUUAAGUCUUUAAAUCUGAUUCUUUCAGUAAGUUUAAGCCUGCAUGAGAGGCACAAUGAGUUGCCUCUCUGAAGCUAAGUAGGUAUUAGCUGCUUGUAUAUUUGGCCUUUUAGUGUUGUGUUCACAGAUAUAAGUAUUUUUCAUAGAGCUUGUAAUAUCACUAAAGAUGCAUUUUUAUGCUCCUUGGGUUAACCUGUUCUUUCUUACAGCUACCUUCAGUUAUGUUAGCUGUGCAGUAUCCUGAAACAUUUGUGUCUGUGGUUACAAAUUUUAGGUGAAAACAAACAGCUCCUGGAAAUUUUUGGACUAAAGUAGCUCUUUGCAAAAGCCAGCAUUAUUUUCCUUUGCUUUAAAAUAUGGAAGAAACAGUGUAUGAGUAAGACCUUUAUUACAAAAA